GACGAACGCUGGCGGCGUGCCUAAUACAUGCAAGUCGAGCGCAGGAAACUGACGGAACUCUUCGGAGGGAAGGCAGUGGAAUGAGCGGCGGACGGGUGAGUAACACGUAAGGAACCUGCCUCAAGGAUUGGGAUAACUCCGAGAAAUCGGAGCUAAUACCGGAUAGUUCAACGGACCGCAUGGUCCGCUGAGGAAAGGCGCUUCGGCGUCACCUUGAGAUGGCCUUGCGGUGCAUCAGCUAGUUGGUGGGGUAACGGCCCACCAAGGCGACGAUGCAUAGCCGACCUGAGAGGGUGAUCGGCCACACUGGGACUGUGACACGGCCCAGACUCCUACGGGAGGCAGCAGUAGGGAAUCUUCCACAAUGGACGAAAGUCUGAUGGAGCAACGCCGCGUGAGUGAUGAAGGUUUUCGGAUCGUAAAACUCUGUUGUAAGGGAAGAACACGUACGAGAGGAAAUGCUCGUACCUUGACGGUACCUUACGAGAAAGCCACGGCUAACUACGUGCCAGCAGCCGCCGUAA
rnacentral:rRNA from 1 species